CGAACGCUGGCGGCGUGCUUAACACAUGCAAGUCGAACGAAGAGCGACGGAAGCUUGCUUCUAUCAAUCUUAGUGGCGAACGGGUGAGUAACGCGUAAUCAACCUGCCCUUCAGAGGGGGACAACAGUUGGAAACGACUGCUAAUACCGCAUACGAUCUAACCUCGGCAUCGAGGAUAGAUGAAAGGUGGCCUCUACAUGUAAGCUAUCACUGAAGGAGGGGAUUGCGUCUGAUUAGCUAGUUGGAGGGGUAACGGCCCACCAAGGCGAUGAUCAGUAGCCGGUCUGAGAGGAUGAACGGCCACAUUGGGACUGAGACACGGCCCAGACUCCUACGGGAGGCAGCAGUGGGGAAUCUUCCGCAAUGGACGAAAGUCUGACGGAGCAACGCCGCGUGAGUGAUGACGGCCUUCGGGUUGUAAAGCUCUGUUAAUCGGGACGAAAGGCCUUCUUGCGAAUAGUGAGAAGGAUUGACGGUACCGGAAUAGAAAGCCACGGCUAACUACGUG
rnacentral:rRNA from 1 species